UGGACCGUGAAAUUGGGGUAAAAACUCUAAUUUGGCAUUAAAAUUAGAAAGAUCAUAUCAUAGGGGACAUGUGUACUAAGUUUGAAGUCGAUUGGACUUAAACUUCAUCAAAAACUACCUUGACCAAAAACUUUAACCUGAAGCGGGACAGACGGACGGACGAACGAACGAACGGACAGACGGACGGACGAACGAACGGACAGACGUACGGACGGACGGACGCACAGACCAGAAAACAUAAUGCCCCUCUACUUUCG
rnacentral:lncRNA from 1 species